rnacentral:rRNA from 1 species
UGGGGAAUCUUGGACAAUGGGCGCAAGCCUGAUCCAGCCAUGCCGCGUGGAUGAUGAGGGCCCUAGGGUUGUAAAAUCCUUUCGCCGAGGACGAUAAUGACGGUACUCGGAGAAGAAGCUCCGGCUAACUUCGUGCCAGCAGCCGCGGUAAUACGAAGGGGGCUAGCGUUGUUCGGAUUUACUGGGCGUAAAGCGCGUGUAGGCGGGUCGUUAAGUUGGGGGUGAAAUCCCGAGGCUCAACCUCGGAACUGCCUCCAAAACUGGCGACCUGGAGCAAGAUAGAGGCGAGUGGAAUUCCGAGUGUAGAGGUGAAAUUCGUAGAUAUUCGGAGGAACACCAGUGGCGAAGGCGACUCGCUGGAUCUUUGCUGACGCUGAGACGCGAAAGCGUGGGGAGCAAACAGGAUUAGAUACCCCAGUAGUCCCUGAGCGGGCUGGCAAGGCGCAU